UGCAAUCUUCCUGCAAUCUUUCUGUGCUGUGUGGGUUUAAUUUAUUUUACAUUAAAUAAUUUCUCCUUCGGAUAAGGAGAAUUACCCGCUUCUCCGAUUAAAAAGACUGACGUUGAAACAAACUUCCAUAGAGAUUGGCCACUCCACAUCAUUUUUUUUUACAACUUCCUGUAAGCGUUGGCAAAUUAAUGAUCGGCGUUGUACACGUUCCCUCAUUCCAAGCCCGGUCCUGACAUUUAAUGGCGAAAGCUUCUUGCUUCUCUCAAUUUUUGCUGACAGUGUGAUCACAGACUCGAAGUGCAGCAUCUUUAUGUGAGACAAUACGGGGAAUACAAAAGGAUCAUAAAGGAGAUUACGAGAGAUCAUCGAGGUAAAAGAAGAAGAUGAAAAGGAAAGAGGAAGUAUUUUAUAAAUUUCUUUACAGUUUCGAAUCCAAGGUAAACAUUUAAGGCUCCUAGUGCUUACUGCAGCCGUGUUGCAUCGUAACCUCAGAAGCGAGAAAUGACACACUGAAAAUUCUUUCUAGAUAGCACACAAUAAAUUCGCAAAGCGUCCUUUAAGUUUACUACCUCCUCGAAUUGUUAUUCUUUAGAAAUUUGUUGGAAUUGAAGAAUACGAUAAUGACGAUUGGGGAAGUUACACCAUAAUGAACUUCAAGACGAACCGAUUGUGACUGCUUCUUCAAGAUUUCUUCAGAUAUUCGGAUUUGCUAACUCUGCAGGAUCUUCUAUUCUUUAAAAUAAUUUCUCUAUGAACUUACGUUUACCUUUGUGCUGGGUUGUAUAGCGUUUUCAAAUAGAAAGAUACUUGGGAGAGAAACACCUCGAGGUACCUAAAGAUCUAAUCACAUAAGUGGAAAUGUGACAAUGUCGCAGAUAAAACAAACUAUUUCCAAUGCUUAUUAAGUAAAAUUGUAAUUAGUUAAAUACUAAAGUAUUAAUUUAUAUACUUAGAACUCAAAUAAAUUUAAAUUGAUUAUUUAUCAAAUAAAAUAACUUACAUCUUACGUUCACAUUUGAUUUCUACCGUUGGCAUUUGCAUCAAGUGAGAGUCUUAAACUCUUAUUUUGAUAUUUUUAAAAUAAUAAAUAAUUAUGACAUUUACAAAUACGAAUAAUCUUACUAUUAUUACGAAAUUAUUUUUUUAGUCAUUGAAUAAGAUUUUAUUAAUAACAUAUUUAUUGAUUAGAAAGAAGCGUUCGAACCUUCUUAAAACUGCGAUGCAAGAAUUUUCAGCGUUUUAUUUCUCGCUUUUAAUAUCACAAUCCAACACUGGCCGAGCACCUGGGAGCCUUAAUAGUGCUUGGAAUUUUCGUGCGAGUGAACAAUUCGAAUGGCACGAAUUUCAAGAUCGAUGCUUCAAUAGUGUAUAUCGUCCCAUAUCGAACAUUUCGAACUGCUCGAUAUAGUUAGACCUAAAUCUCAUGAGUUGGAACAAAUGAGGGUUUAUCUUUUUGUUUGCAACGACUAUUACUUUCGGUUGGACUAUCAGCGAUGUCCAACCGAUCGACCAUUAAUUUCGAACUCAAUCAUCAACUUCGAAGUCGGACUUAAAGCUCGGGCAUUUCUGUCUGUUCAUCUAGAUUUGUUUGAGCGUAAUUUGUUCCAAUCUCUUGCCUGAGUUUUGAUAAAAUUCAAUACUUAAGUGUUCUUCCCGAUUACUUAUGCCCUAUGCACGUACGAGAUCCUGUGACUUAUACAGAUCCGGCUUAGCUCAACUUAGUUGUCCCGCGCUCGACCGCGACAGAAAAUUGGAAACUACGAUGUCUGCAAUCUCGCCGUUAUCAAGUCGUUGAUUAGUCGUUAUAGAAACGCACGCGCGUAGCCUAGCAACACGCCAUUCAAUGUUCCAUUCCCGAUUCCCGUGAAAGCCACUGCGGCGAGGGCGAUAUCGGCCCGGCAACGACAGUGAGGGAAGCCGCGCGAGCGAUAGUUGCGUCGCGUGCAACCCCGCGACGAGUCUCGCAAUCACGACGACCGAUCAACGACGAUCCCGGAGAUCUUGGCUUCGCGCGGACCGCCAACGGUGACGGACGAUACUUCAAAGGGAAACGGACGUGAACAAUGAGGAUCCCGCACACGAUAUCGCAGAACGUUGUAGCUGCUUACAGGUGCUCGGCGGAGACCUCGCUGUUACCGCAGGAGCAAGAACGUACGCUGCGAGCGGAAGACGCCUCGUGGGACGAUGGCGUAAUCCCCGAUUUAAAGAUUCUUGCGCUUCGCGCUAUAGUCUCGACCUGGAAGGAUAAUCCUAUUCUGGAGGAUUUGCCGACAUGCGCCGACAGGGACGUGUUGCUGGAAAUACUACCGACUGAUCUACCCUUCGAGUUGACGAUACCGAGAAUCGAGGAUGAAUUUUAUUGGGAACGCGCGGCCAAGGACAGGUGGGAACACAAUGACCUGGGCGAACAUGGUGGCUCAUGGCGGCGAUUAUAUUGCGAACGUCACUUAGCCGAGUAUCUGGAAACUUUGCAAGCGAGCUACUUCGAAUCCCAAAGAGAAGAAUGUGAGAAAUUGAUGGCUCUUGUUAAGAACCACGUACAUGUCAUAAGGCUUCGUUCUCUCGUACCGACCAAUAAACAGACAAAGCAAGUGGAGAACGACAAGUUAACCUUAGAGGAAGAUAUUGUGCAUCACAUUCCCAUGGCAGUUAUAUUACCGCGCUUCCCGUAUCUUACCGAGAUUUAUCUCAACUUCGGUAUGAUCUAUAUGAACGACGGUUUCGAAUGGCGGGACUUCGAGUUCUCGCUGGAGGAUUGCUUAAGUCUGGGGGAAGGAAUUAAAGUCAGCCCAAUGUUGAAAAAAUUCAGUUUAACCCGAAGUAAUUUAGAUCAGCCCCGAGUCGCUGCCAUUCUUCAAGGGAUGGUGUCAAAUGAUAAUAUCGAGGAGUUGGAUCUGUCACAUUGUAAAUUGACGGAUACCGGCGCACACGCAGUGGGCGAAUUUCUGUCGAUGCAUCGGAGACUGAGGACCUUGCAUUUGGCGAACAACAAUAUAGGUCCCGACGGAGUCGCCGGUAUCGUUCAUGGACUGAUGAAAGCAAGCUCGACGGCCCUAAAAAAUUUAGAUCUGCGACUAAAUCCUUUGGAAAAUGAGGGAACUAAUCACAUAUGUGCUCUUCUGGUCAGGAACAAAACUUUGGAAACGCUGAAUAUCAGUGGUUGCGAAUUAGGUCCGGAAGACGGCAUAGCGCUGGCCGGUGUGCUUUCUUCCGGUUGCGUGGAACUCGAAGCUUUAUCUCUCGACGUAUCAAACAAUGAUUUUGGACUUACCGCUGGAGAGUCAUUCGAGGCGGCCGUAAGCUCGCGCUCGUACAUUAUUCACUUGGAUGGUCGAAUGUGCAAUUUCUCGAAAGAAUCGGAAUGCUCGAUCACCGAGGGUGCGCGCAGGAAUAAACGAAACGUGAAAAAGGAGAAGGACAAGGCAGUGUUUUCCUAAAGCAGCAAUGUCCAUAAUUCACCCAGCGCCAAGAAUCCGCAACAACAGCCGGAAGUCUGUCGUCAUUUCCAGAUUCAAAGAAUACUGUGCAACGUUUUAUCGGCAGACAAAUCGAUGCCGCCAUCUGCAUCGCAAAGAGGAAAGCGGAGAGCUUAAAAUGAUGGUGUGUCAAUCUCCAGAUCUUAAUCCCAUAGAACUUCUGUGGGAUGAACUUGAUCGCCGGGUCAGGAAGGUUUGUCCCACAUCUUAGAAGCACCUCUUUAGGAGGUCCUCCAGAAAGCAUGGAGUGAAAUACCAAAUUCUGUUCUGGAAAAACUCGUAGAAAGGACGCUGCGAUUGGUAAAAAUAGGUGUUGUCUGCCAAGGGAGGUUUCUUUGAUGAAAAAAAAGCAUGAGUUUUAAGCUAAGGAUUGGUUCUAAUUCGUGAUAUCUGUAACUCUUAGUAAGUGUUUAAUAAGUCUAAUUGUAAACUGAAUAAAAUUUAUCCGUUUUUAAAUAAUAAGUAGUGUUUUAUAAAGAAUUUUUUCCUGUCCGGAAACUUUUCGACGGCAGUGUACGUUUAACGGAAAACGGAAAACGACAUGUGUAUAUGCACUCGCAACACGUACAUACAAAUUUAAUAGCCGGUAAUACCACAAAUUUGCCAGAAUUUGCACAGGGUCCUCGUAUCUCGAACGGCCGUCUCACGUCAAAUCGAUACGCUUUAAAACUCCAUGCGACUUCUUCGCCAUCGCGUGCCGAUGAUAUCGGCAUUUUACAGCGAAUGUUAAUCCCGCGACGCGCUGCCCAAUUUCCUCACCGUGUAAAAUACGUACAGGUAUGCGCACAAUGCAAUUUGAAGUAAUAGCUAAACACCCGCCCUGUGAUCGAUACUGACUGCCUUGUAAUUAAUACAGAACGGGGAUCGAAACCGACGUAAGUUCCGACACGAUGGUUUUUAGUUUAAAUGCUAUAAGCGUGCCAAGGUGAUCUCGAUAGAAGUCUUUCACAGAGCCUAUCGUUGGCGAAGAAUUUUCCGAAAGAUUAUUAUCGAAAUAUACGCGAUCACUCUUUGAUAUUUUUAAAUAGUAAACGCUUACUUACUGUCAUGAGUUUUCGUCGAAUAAACUCAAAUUUUAUUGUAUCGAGUGGCCUUUUAAAAUUAAUGUUACAGGGAAACCUCACGAGGUGUAUUCCUCCAAUCUUGAUAAGCUUUUAAUAUGUUGUUUUCUAGACAAAAAUAAGGAACACCUAUUUUUUUAUACGUACCUAUACGCAUAUUUAGGGGGUAAAACACUCCUUUGAAAAAAAUCGGUUUCUCUUUUGUAGCGAACAUCCGCGAAACUGAAGAUCCAUACCUACAUUUUGAGCCAUGUACAAUAUUUUAUGACGAAAACUGUUCGGGCAGGAGAUGGUCCGGUUGACAAAGAGUGACUCGUACAAAUUUUUGCACCUUUGAUAUUUUGUUACUCUUGCGUCAUUUCUUGGAUUCGUCUUUGAUCUUCCGUCAUAUAUUAAACUUCAUGUUUUUAUACUGUAACUUAACUGUUACGCACUAUCCGCGCUAGAACUAUAAUGUCUUUCAAAAUUGUCAUCUUCUGUCACAGAAUUUGGUGUGCAAAGGUACCAACAAAAUACGCCAAAAAUUAAUUAAAAGGAAAUAAUAGCGUAUGCCAUAGUUCGUGUAUGUGAAGCUAGCGUCUCAUUUCGUGGAAACUCAUUAACUAUUGAGAGUUCUGGCUUCUUUUAGAAUAGUUCUAGAGUUCCUGAUACAUUAAACACAUAGUUCUGGCCUUUAAAGCCAAAAAAUCGAAUAGUGCAAAGUGAGACGCCAACUUCACCCAGCGUCUCACUUUGUCCUCCGCCUAUUUCCCGACGGCUAUUUAUCGGAUUUCAAGCGCCCUAGAGUUCUACAAUAGUUCUAGCAAGAGUUCUGGUGAAAAAACGUUGUUUUUCAAUUUUUAAAUAAUUUUUAUCAGUCGAGAGAUACAUCUUAAUACGGACGAACGUGAGACGCUGGUCGAAAUGUCAGAGUUCUGGCUAUUCUAACACAGUUCUAGUGUAGUUCCGAACGUAUUCUAAUGUUUUCCAAAGAGUUCUAUGCGCUGGCGUACGUGUAUGAUUUUUUAAAAAAUUAAAUUCCCCG